rnacentral:rRNA from 1 species
AUUGAACGCUGGCGGCAGGCCUAACACAUGCAAGUCGAGCGAGCGGCGGACGGGUGAGUAAUGUAUGGGGACUGCCCGAUAGAGGGGGAUAACUACUGGAAACGGUUGCUAAUACCGCAUACUGUCGGAUAACCCAUAUUGGAUGAGCAAGUAGGUAAGGUAAUGGCUUACCUAGGCGACGAUCCCUAGCUGGUAUGAGAGGAUGAUCAGCCACACGGGUACUGGAACACGGCCCGGACUCCGACGGAGGCAGAGUUGGGGAAUAUUGCACAAUGGGCGCAGGCCUGAUGCGGCCAUGCCGGGUGUAUGAAGAAGGCCCUGGGGUUGUAAAGUACUUUCAGUCGGGAGGCGUUACCGACAGAAGAAGCACCGGCUAACUCCGUGCCAGCAGCCGCGGUAAUAC